rnacentral:rRNA from 1 species
AGAGUUUGAUCCUGGCUCAGAUUGAACGCUGGCGGAAUGCUUUACACAUGCAAGUCGAACGGCAGCACGGACUUCGGCCUGGUGGCGAGUGGCGAACGGGUGAGUAAUAUAUCGGAACGCAUCCAAUAAUGGGGGAUAACUAAUCGAAAGGUUGGCUAAUACCGCAUACGCCCUACGGGGGAAAGCUAGGGACCUUCGGGCCUGGCGUUAAUGGAGCGGCUGAUAUCUGAUUAGCUAGUAGGUGAGGUAAAAGCUCACCUAGGCGACGAUCAGUAGCUGGUCUGAGAGGACGACCAGCCACACUGGAACUGAGACACGGUCCAGACUCCUACGGGAGGCAGCAGUGGGGAAUUUUGGACAAUGGGCGAAAGCCUGAUCCAGCCAUUCCGCGUGAGUGAAGAAGGCCUUCGGGUUGUAAAGCUCUUUCGCAAGGGAAGAAAACUUAGAUACUAAUAUUAUCUGAGGUUGACGGUACCUUGAUAAGAAGCACCGGCUAACUACGUGCCAGCAGCCGCGGUAAUACGUAGGGUGCGAGCGUUAAUCGGAAUUACUGGGCGUAAAGCGUGCGCAGGCGGUUUUGUAAGUCAGAUGUGAAAUCCCCGAGCUCAACUUGGGAACUGCGUUUGAAACUACAAGACUAGAAUAUGUCAGAGGGGGGUAGAAUUCCACGUGUAGCAGUGAAAUGCGUAGAGAUGUGGAGGAAUACCAAUGGCGAAGGCAGCCCCCUGGGAUAAUAUUGACGCUCAUGCACGAAAGCGUGGGGAGCAAACAGGAUUAGAUACCCUGGUAGUCCACGCCCUAAACGAUGUCUACUAGUUGUUGGUGGAGUAAAAUCCAUGGGUAACGCAGCUAAACGCGUAAGU